GGGUAUAUAUCUCAGUGGUAGAGUGUAUGCUUAACAAGCACAGAGUCCUGGGUUUAAUCCCCAGUACCUCUG
rnacentral:tRNA from 1 species